GACGAACGCUGGCGGCGUGCUUAACACAUGCGAGUCGAACGGAAAGGCCCUGCUUUUGUGGGGUGCUCGAGUGGCGAACGGGUGAGUAACACGUGAGUAACCUGCCCUUGACUUUGGGAUAACUUCAGGAAACUGGGGCUAAUACCGGAUAGGAGCUCCUGCUGCAUGGUGGGGGUUGGAAAGUUUCGGCGGUUGGGGAUGGACUCGCGGCUUAUCAGCUUGUUGGUGGGGUAGUGGCUUACCAAGGCUUUGACGGGUAGCCGGCCUGAGAGGGUGACCGGCCACAUUGGGACUGAGAUACGGCCCAGACUCCUACGGGAGGCAGCAGUGGGGAAUAUUGCACAAUGGGCGGAAGCCUGAUGCAGCAACGCCGCGUGCGGGAUGACGGCCUUCGGGUUGUAAACCGCUUUCGCCUGUGACGAAGCAUGAGUGACGGUAAUGGGUAAAGAAGCACCGGCUAACUACGUG
rnacentral:rRNA from 1 species